UACUGCGUGGGAAUGAUCCAGUUACUUUGAUGAAGUAAAGUUUAAGCUUUAUGUUUCGGUAUUU
rnacentral:tRNA from 1 species